GACGAACGCUGGCGGCGUGCCUAAUACAUGCAAGUUGAGCGCUGAAGGUUGGUACUUGUACCGACUGGAUGAGCAGCGAACGGGUGAGUAACGCGUGGGGAAUCUGCCUUUGAGCGGGGGACAACAUUUGGAAACGAAUGCUAAUACCGCAUAAAAACUUUAAACACAAGUUUUAAGUUUGAAAGAUGCAAUUGCAUCACUCAAAGAUGAUCCCGCGUUGUAUUAGCUAGUUGGUGAGGUAAAGGCUCACCAAGGCGAUGAUACAUAGCCGACCUGAGAGGGUGAUCGGUCACAUUGGGACUGAGACACGGCCCAAACUCCUACGGGAGGCAGCAGUAGGGAAUCUUCGGCAAUGGACGAAAGUCUGACCGAGCAACGCCGCGUGAGUGAAGAAGGGUUUCGGAUCGUAAAACUCUGUUGGUAGAGAAGAACGUUGGUGAGAGUGGAAAGCUCAUCAAGUGACGGUAACUACCCAGAAAGGGACGGCUAACUACGUG
rnacentral:rRNA from 1 species